GGGCUCACUUCGGCAGCACAUAUACUGCAACUGGAACGAUACAGAGAAGAUUAGCAUGGCCCUUGUACAAGGAUAACAUGCAAAUUCGUAAAGUGUUCCACAUUUUU